UAGCAGCUCAUCUGGUAUAA
rnacentral:miRNA from 1 species